ensembl:snoRNA SNORA62 Small nucleolar RNA SNORA62/SNORA6 family
UCUGCACAUUGUUAAAGCAUGGAGUUGUGGCCAUGGUCUAGCCAAUGAACUCACAAGUUGGUAGUAUGCUACAUGAAGGGCAAGUUUUUCACUAACACCACAAACAUCUCUGGCCUAAUGAGUGGAGGUUGACAGUAAUCCUUGAACAAGG